rnacentral:rRNA from 1 species
GCCCAGACUCCUACGGGAGGCAGCAGUGAGGAAUAUUGGUCAAUGGGCGCAAGCCUGAACCAGCCAAGUCGCGUGAGGGAAGACGGCCCUACGGGUUGUAAACCUCUUUUGCCGGGGAGCAAGCCUGAGCACGUGUGCCCAGGCGGAGAGUACCCGGAGAAAAAGCAUCGGCUAACUCCGUGCCAGCAGCCGCGGUAAUACGGAGGAUGCGAGCGUUAUCCGGAUUUAUUGGGUUUAAAGGGUGCGCAGGCGGGCUGUUAAGCCGGCGGUAAAAAUUCAGGGCUCAACCCUGUCGAGCCGUCGGAACUGGCAGUCUUGAGUGGGCGAGAAGUAUGCGGAAUGCGUGGUGUAGCGGUGAAAUGCUUAGAUAUCACGAAGAACCCCGAUUGCGAAGGCAGCCUGCCGCAGCGUUACUGACGCUGAAGCUCGAAAGCGCGGGUAUCGAACAGGAUUAGAUACCCUUGUA